GGUUAGUAGUCAUACGCUCGUCUCAAAGAUUAAGCCAUGCAUGUGUAAGUGUAAAUAUCAAAGUUUGGAACUGCGAAUGGCUCAUUAUAUCAGUUAUAGUUUAUUUGGUGAAGUGUACUACUUGGAUAACCGUAGUAAUUCUAGGGCUAAUACAUGAGAAAGUCCUCUGGUGAGGUGUGUUUAUUAGAAUGAAAACCAUAUGCUUCGGCAUGAUAGUGAGUAAUAGUAACCUAUCGUAUCGCAUGCUUAAUGUAGCGAUGAGUCUUUCAAGUUUCUGCCCUAUCAGCUUUCGAUGGUAGUAUAUGGGCCUACCAUGGCAGUAACGGGUAACGAAGAA
rnacentral:rRNA from 1 species